rnacentral:lncRNA from 1 species
AAUUUGGCAUGGGGAAGAGUGUCUGGUACCAGUGUUUUCAACCACCAUGACAGAAGACCCACAGUAGGCAACUCAAGAGAGUAAGGAUUUGCUUUGGCGCAGUUUAAGUCCACUAUGGAGGGAGGCAUGGCGGCUCCACGGGAGCUCACAUCUCAGUGGGUCAGGAACUGCAUCUAGAGAAGACUGGAGCUAGCAUAGACUCUGCCCCAGGGAGACUCCAUGGGUACUAGCCAGGCUUCAUGUAAAAGGGUCCGUUAUCUCUCCAGUGCUGCCAGUUAGGGACAGUGUUCAGACUCAUGGGACUGUGGAUGUCACUUCACAAAUGACAGAAAUCCCUAGAAACCCUCCUGCAGAAAUACAGGGCAGGAGCGACCUCCUGUAGAGGCUGUGCCUGCCUAAGAUGGAAGUGUGUGCAGCACGAGGCUCCCUCGAAUGGUGCUGUCUUUAGAGGUUUGCUUGGAAGGCGCUGGCUUUCCUUCGCUCUGUUCGGGGUGCACUGCUGGUGUCCAUCUCUCUAACAGCGGGGGCUUUACAGGUCAGAAUGAUGUACUAUCGUCAGGUACUGCAUGCUCAAGUCACUUCUGAAUUAUGAAUUUAAAUUAUUUCUGUAGCUGGAAAUGAAAAUUCUGUCUUUUAAGAAUAGAAACUCCUGUCAUAAAGUCAGAAAGUAGAUAGCAAUAAAAAAAAAAAUGGAAAAAAAUAGUAAGACCAUUGAAAAUAAGGGACAUUUUAGGUUAUUGUAUCAUGCAUGGAAGAACAGCCAUCAAUCUUAAUUCUUUGAAAGGAUUCAUAUUUAAAAUUUCUAUCAUACUUAGUAUAAAUUACUCUGUAUUCAGAUAAAGCUAUUGGCAUGAAAAUAUCAAUCCUUUUAUUAAGAAGCCCCUUUUUCUUAAACUUUAAAAAAGUUCCUAUUACAUUGAGUGUGUGUGUGUGUGUGUGUGUGUGUGUAAGCACAUAUGUGUGGAGGUCAAAGGACAACUUGUAGGAGUUAGUUCUCUUUAUCUACCACAGGUCCCAGACUCAGGUUGGAAGUUGGCAGCAAGCUCCUUUACCUACUGAGCUGUCUUGAUGACUCCCUUCUUCUACUUUUCUGAUGAAUUUAACCAGAAAUUUGUUUUUAAUUUUAUCUCUUCCUUUAGCACCAUGAGGAUCAUUUCUUUUUCUUUUUUGAGAAGCUCCUCCUGGAUACUGUACUGACACGUCCAUUUUCCUAGGCCACACACUUAUGAUGCUCACUCAUACCCACUGAGAGUAAUUCCACAACUGGUGGUACUAACCAGAAACUCAAUCAGCAUCUAAAGUCUCUGAGAGCACAGUGCUUAAGUGGCUGAAGAGUGACGCUUGCUUGUCCAGCAUCAGCCCGAGUUGUAUGUGCUGUGCUUCAGCCCAUGUUGGGCUGCAGAGAGGUGGCUCAGGAUUACAAUGGAUUUCGACUCCAUCAUGAAAGCUGGAAUUUAGAUCCCUGCACCAUGUUAUACAGCUUGCAAACACCUAUAAUCCAAUCCCCUUUUCUGGCCUCCAUGGGCAUCCCCAGAAAUAUGUGUGCAUAUACUCACUCAGAUAGACACACACACACACAAACAGACACUCACAAACAUUUUUUUAAUGAGUAAAUUUUUCUUCAAGAAUAGGGUCUAAGUACAAAUGCAGGAUAUUCAUGUAAUAACUAUAAUUCAAGAAUGAGCAAAAUCUUUAUACUUAUCCAUUUUAGAAAACAGAUGUUUGUAAUAACCGAGGCUUGUCUACAAAAUUAGCUCUGCUUUAAAGCAGCUCUUCUUCUCAGUAUCAUCUACAAAUCCUGACUGUCACACCCAGUAGCUCGUUAUCCCCAACUGCCCCUGGGCACUUCUGGAAAUCAUUCUAGUGCCCUAAAGAAGCACAAGAGCCACUGUUAGACGGGACUCCAGACUUCUGGCUGACAGGGGGCACUGCCACAGCAAGUACUCUGCUUGGGACCCUGAGCAUGACAUCAAACCCCACAGAAGGCAGUGGGAGAAGAGAACAGCACGGCAACACCAUGGGACUGGGACCACUUCCCUCCAAGCAAUGGAAACACAGCCUUGCCCACAGCCUCCAGAGCAAGGUUCAUGCCAGCCCUGUCUCUGUAGGGGUCAGCUCUAACAGGAGUGCCAUCUGUCUUGGUCUUAGGAUUCUAUCGAAUGAAUGGGCAGACUCUCACACUUUCAGAAAUGAAAUGAGGGGCCACAACCUGUGAAGAGCCCUAAACUCAAGCAUCAGGUUUCUCCUGCACACACAUCUGAACACACAACUGCACACACUACUGUACACACUAUUGCACACAGGACUACACACAGGAGUACACACACUUCUGCACACACAAUUGCACACACUACACCACAUACUACUGCAUACAAAACUGCACACACUACUGCACACAGGACUGCACACACUUCUACACAUGCUACUGUACAUACUACUGCACAUAUGACCACACACACUAUUGCACACACUAUUUACACACAUGACUGCACACACUUCUAACACACUACUGUACAUGCUACUGCACACAGGACUGCACACAGGAUUGCACACAGGACUGCACACAGGACUGCACACAGGAAGGACUGCACACAGGACUGCACACAGGAUUGCACACAGGACUGAACACAGGACUGCACACAGGACUGCACACACUACGGCACACACUACUGCAGGGCUCUCACUUACCAGUCACAGUGACGGCAGUGAGCAAACAUUACGACAAACUUCUACUGAAAAGUCUGCUGAGACGGUAGGAUCUGAAAGGCGGAUUUAGGGACAAGCACCCUGUGGCAGGUCUCCUUGAGUGAGACCAUCAAGAUCUUUUAUCACCUGGAGAUAAAAAGCCAACCAAAUGACAAUGUCUUCUUGGUGUUUCCUGAAUCAAUCAACAGUCAGAGUUAGAACUAAAGUCUUACUAUGUGACAGAAACUCUGUGUCUGUCUGUCUGUCUGUCUCUAACCUUUUGUCACCCAUCUGAGUAUUACAUGGCAUGGAUUAUUAGACAAAUGAGGAAACUGAGGCAGACAAUAUUCACCCAGACUCACCUGCUAGCAAGUGGCAGGUCUGACGGUGCCUGUAAGCACUGGAGGUCCUUGUAUUUAUGAAUGGGGCUGAGGUGCUCACAAGGGCACGUGUAACUACCAACACUGUCUCAGGAGAAGUAACCGGUUCCCAUGAGUGCCAGCCUUAGAUGCUGAAGGGGCCACUGCUGCCACAAAACCUGACACAGAGCCCACAGCCAGUGGCCAGGAUGGUGUGAGGUAUGCAUGGGAAGGAGGGUCCCAAUGGACACAGUGCCUCCAAAGCCUCCCACCUCAGCUGAGCUCAGCUAGGUUCUGACCUCUGCCCUUCUGCUACACACACGCUCUUGCUAAGGCUACACACAUGUUCGGUGCCCUGGACCUUUCCUCAGUGAGCUUCACAUGAGAAUCUGACUGCAGUAACGUCAAUAUUCAGACACAUGACCUAGUUCCUCAUUGACAACACCGUGCUGUGAGACCACGUCCACAAAGUGGGGUUGACUAAGGGCUUUCUGUUCAUGGCAUCACAAACAUGGGGCCUAUGAACUCUGACAAACAAGCCCAUUCUAAUCAUUACAACGUGACCACGAGACCAAAGGGAACACUCUUGUCUUUAGACUGCUGACCUCAGACACCCAAAUGUCAUGUGCCGACACAUGCUUCCUUAAAGGUAUAAGUCUUGAACUUAUGAGUAGACAAAUAUUCAAAGGUGAAAUAAAGCAAACUCAUAAGGAACUACUAAGAAAACAUAUCCCUAAUUUAAGGAGAUUUGGGCCCCUGACUCUGGGGUCAAAGCUGCUGCUGGACUACAAAAUCCCAUCAGGUUUCAUCCCGGAGUUAAUCAGCAGCCCAGAAAGCAGAACUGUUUAAAGCUGUGUGGAUGUUUUUGUACUGUAGUUACGUAGUUAUUAAAAUGCUACACAAGGAAGGGCUGGAUGUAAGCAAAGGACCCGGGCCAUGGAGAAGGUGACAAAUGUAAGCAAAGGACCCGGGCCAUGGAGAAGGUGACAAAGCUUUUUUUUUUUUUUCCUGGUAACAACUCUGCCAUCAGUUUUAUUUUUCAUAGUGUGUAAGUGACUUUGACUUUCUGUGUUAGCAUACCUAGACCUGAAAAUAAACAAACAAAUGAAGGAACUUUU